rnacentral:rRNA from 1 species
UUCCGGUGGAUCCUGCCAGAGGUUACUGCUAUCGGUGUUCGACUAAGCCAUGCUAGUUAAAUGUUCUUCGUGAACAUAGCAGACUGCUCAGUAACACGUGGACAAUCUGCCCUUGGGUUCAGCAUAACCCCGGGAAACUGGGGAUAAUUCUGAAUAGAUCACAUAUGCUGGAAUGCCUUGUGAUUUAAAGAUCCUUCGCCCAAGGAUGGGUCUGCGGCCUAUCAGGUUGUAGUGGGUCUAGAGUACCUACUAGCCAACGACGGGUACGGGUUGUGAGAGCAAGAGCCCGGAGAUGGAUUCUGAGACAAAAAUCCAGGCCCUACGGGGCGCAGCAGGCGCGAAACCUUUACACUGCGGGAAACCGCGAUAAGGGGACACCGAGUGCCAGCAUACAAUGCUGGCUGUCCACAUGUGUAAAUAGCAUGUGAUAGCAAGGGCCGGGCAAGACCGGUGCCAGCCGCCGCGGUAACACCGGCGGCCCGAGUGGUAAUCACUAUUAUUGGGUCUAAAGGGUCCGUAGCCGGUUUAAUCAGUCUUCCGGGAAAUCUGACAGCUCAACUGUUAGGCUCC